rnacentral:rRNA from 1 species
AGCGAACGCUGGCGGCAGGCUUAACACAUGCAAGUCGAACGCCCCGCAAGGGGAGUGGCAGACGGGUGAGUAACACGUGGGAACGUACCCUUUGGUUCGGAAUAACUUGGGGAAACUCAAGCUAAUACCGGAUAAGCCCUUAUGGGGAAAGGUUUACUGCCGAAGGAUCGGCCCGCGUCUGAUUAGCUAGUUGGUGAGGUAAUGGGUCACCAAGGCGACGAUCAGUAGCUGGUCUGAGAGGAUGAUCAGCCACACUGGGACUGAGACACGGCCCAGACGCCUACGGGAGGCAGCAGUGGGGAAUAUUGGACAAUGGGGGCAACCCUGAUCCAGCCAUGCCGCGUGAGUGAUGAAGGCCUUAGGGUUGUAAAGCUCUUUUGCCCGGGACGAUAAUGACUGUACCGGGAGAAUAAGCCCCGGCUAACUUCGUGCCAGCAGCCGCCGUAA